rnacentral:misc_RNA from 1 species
CCCUUGUGGAGGAGGACGCCGAAGGUGGGGCUAAUGACUGGGGUGAAGUCGUAACAAGGUAGCCGUACCGGAAGGUGCGGCUGGAUCACCUCCUAACAGGGAGACAACAAAAUGUUUAAUAUUAUUAUUUUGUCACCUUAGGUCGAUCGGUAUCUCACGUUUUUAAUUUAUUAAGAAUUUCAUUUCCUAAGUUUUUCUAGGUCACACCCAUUAUUUUUCCUGGGCCAUUAGCUCAGGUGGUUAGAGCGCACCCCUGAUAAGGGUGAGGUCCCUGGUUCAAGUCCAGGAUGGCCCAUAUCUCUAUGUUGGGGGUAUAGCUCAGUUGGUAGAGCGCCUGCUUUGCAAGCAGGAUGUCAGCGGUUCGAGUCCGCUUACCUCCACUGAUUACCACCUCUUCCAUAAUCGGUAGAAAGGAAAUUUUUUGAGUUGUGAUCAAAUUCUGAAAGAAUUCAGCUUCCUAAUGAAAUCAUUAAGAUGCUGGACUCAUUGAAUUAAUUUCAUUGUUUUCAGAGAACCUUGACAACUGCAUAGAUUAUUUUUAAAGACAAUAAGCAUCUUUAAUGAUGCAGAUUUAUUAUUUGUGCGAAUGCAUUAAUAACAAUUCUAUUAAGCUGAUGCUUCAAUUUUUUGAAGUUAUUGGUCAAGCUACAAAGGGCUCACGGAG